UACGUAGGGCGCGAGCGUUGUCCGGAUUUAUUGGGCGUAAAGAGCUCGUAGGCGGCUUGUCGCGUCGACUGUGAAAACUCGGGGCUCAACUCCGAGCUUGCAGUCGAUACGGGCAGGCUAGAGUUCGGUAGGGGAGACUGGAAUUCCUGGUGUAGCGGUGGAAUGCGUAGAGAUCAGGGGGAACACCGAUGGCGAAGGCACCGCUCUGGCCGAAAACUGACGCUGAGGCGCGAAAGCUGGGGGAGCGAACGGG
rnacentral:rRNA from 1 species